ACGAACGCUGGCGGCAUGCCUAACACAUGCAAGUCGAACGAAGGCUUCGGCCUUAGUGGCGCACGGGUGCGUAACGCGUGGGAAUCUGCCCUUGGGUUCGGGAUAACAGUUGGAAACGACUGCUAAUACCGGAUGACGUCGAUAAGACCAAAGAUUUAUCGCCUGAGGAUGAGCCCGCGUAGGAUUAGGUAGUUGGUGGGGUAAAGGCUCACCAAGCCGACGAUCCUUAGCUGGUCUGAGAGGAUGAUCAGCCACACUGGGACUGAGACACGGCCCAGACUCCUACGGGAGGCAGCAGUGGGGAAUAUUGGACAAUGGGCGAAAGCCUGAUCCAGCAAUGCCGCGUGAGUGAUGAAGGCCUUAGGGUUGUAAAGCUCUUUUACCCGGGAAGAUAAUGACUGUACCGGGAGAAUAAGCCCCGGCUAACUCCGU
rnacentral:rRNA from 1 species